GGGCUGGCAGUGAGACUGACUGCGUCGGGGUUGAGACUGGGUGGAUGAGGCUCACCCCGGCGGGGAGAAGGGACGAGGAGGGGCGGACAGCGGAAGGUCCGGGAGUGUCCGCCAUAAAGUCGUUUGAGGUGACCGUUGCGUAAUUGUGAGUCUGUGAGAGAAGAUGUGAAGUAUGGCCUCGUCCCGGUCAUCUGGGCGUGCGGGUCCCGGGUUUUGAUCGCGCGUUUGUUUUUAACUUCUAGUCAUGGCGAAUGAUCGCAGGAGAGCACAGACUGGACCCUGCUACGAUCUCUCUUGGAGUGGAUCAGACUGAUGAUCACCAACAACCAACUCAUUCCCGGAUAAGGAAGAAGAGAGUGUCACCUACUUCAGUGUGGUUUCAACCCUACUUCUGCAUCUUAAAGACACUUGUACAACGUUGGACACUGUGCAGGAUGAUGCCACUUCAUCUUGGAUGCUAAUCUGCCAUGUUGACUUCUGAUUAACCCCAGGCCCAGGAAUGCCUCAAGAUUUCUACUUUACUUACUGUUGCUUGUGUAAGCCAAGACAACCUUGAUGUUAUCAUAAACAUGUACUUACCUAAGUCCUGUCCUUUGGCAAAUUAUGGGCUAUGAGACACAGCAUUCUUGCCUUUCCCUGAGGGGUCAAUUUCAGCGAUCCUACACAUUCCUUCUGAAGCACUUAUGCUCUUUCUAUAUGGUAUGUAAGCUCUCGGUCUGGGGAGUAACAGUGCAGAGAUCUACCUGUCUUGUUGCCACAUGUUUCUAAACUUUCCAAUAAAUCACCUUCUACUGACAAACU
rnacentral:lncRNA from 10 species